AAAGGUGACCUAUACUGGUUGCUUUCACCUUCAGGGAAGACCUAAUACCCCUAUAUCAAAUAGGUUCUGCUGCCUGUAAGAACUUAAAGUUCUGGUUCUUAUUCAAUACGCAUUUAGACAAGCUAAAUCAGGCCCUGUAGAAAAAGUAUGAAAGAACUAAAAGAUGUGGUGCCUUGAAAGGCAGCAGACAGCUGUUCCAUUUCCCCAAAUUUCUAGAGCCAAAAAGAGAGAGAUUGUAAAUAAAAUGACUGGUUCCAGACCACAUCUGAUAGAUGGUGGCAAAGAUCAAGUUGUAAGAGAAAAAAGGAAAUGUCAGAGAGACAGAUAAAUGGGACAUAAAAGAAACAGGUAUUUCGUAAUCACAUCGUCUGGGAGGAGUCUGCCCAGAAUUUACAGCAUCUGUCUUUGGAGGAGAAAGAGAAAUACUUGGUGUUCCCUGGACUGGAUUUGAGUUCCGGUUUGCUGGAGAAAAAGGCACCCCUCCCCCUUUGAAACUUCUGGGACAAAUUCCGAGAGAGGUCGUUGAGUUGAAUCAUCACAAAAGGUGAGAACACUGAGGUCACAGCAGGUUCUUCUGACUCUUCGGUCCCCACAUGUUUGAAGAGAUGGACGAGUCCCUAACAUUUACUGAGUGCUAUGAGCCUGGCCGACAACAACCCAAUGAGGGAUAUUUGGACACAGAACACCAAGUGAAAAUGAAGGCAGAGAUCAGGGUGGUGCAUCUCCAUACAAGCCAAAGAUUGCCCGCAAACCACCAGGAGCUAGGAGAGAGUCAAGGAACGGAUUCUCUUUCACGACACUCAGAAGAGACCAACCCUGCUUUAAUCUUCAAGUUCCAGCCUCCACAACUGUGAGAACACAACGUUCUGUUUGAGGCAUCCAGUCUGUGGUACUUUGUGACAAAAGCCCCAGGAAACAAUACAGUUUGAAGACAGCUCUUUUCCAUGUGAUGAUUCAGAAACUCAGGCGCCUUCCAGCUUGUGGCUGUACUAUCCCCAAGGGUCCAGGACCUCAUCAUUAUUCUUCCCUUCCAGACACAACUGUCCAUUUGCACCCUUCAUCCUGCACAGAGAGCCUACACCCACGUCCUCCUUAAGGAAAAUAACCCAGAGCUCCGUUCAGUCUCUACAACCACUUGAAAUUCUGGGACUCUGGAGAACACAACGUCUCCUCAAUCAGAUCUACAUGUGACUCCUGAUGGUCCAACAAUUAUUAACUAAAAGAUCCAGUUAUUAGCUCCUCCAAUCCACAUCUGCUAUGCCAUGGAGGAACAGGGACUUGAGAACUGCAAUAAAACUCUCAUUCAGAAAACGGGAGAAUGGGAAAGAGUCCUUGGUUAAUAGCACAAUGGAAUCUUGCUAGGUGGGCAGUGUGAAGGCCCUUUGCCAGGUAAGAGGGGAUAAACGCCUUGCUUAGUCCUUUAAUCUGCUCUCUGGGAGGGUUUCAUUUUCUAUUUUUCUCUAAGGCCCCUUGCUCCAUCCUUUUGGAAAUCCUUCCUUGUCCAUUAUCCUUUUGGACCACUUCCGAAGUAGACUCCUGAAAGACUGUACAGCCUUCCUAGCCCACUUUCUUCUCAGGCAAAUCUAGGAACAAAGGGCAAGCUUGACCAAUGAAAGAUGAUUUCAUCCCAGCU